GACGUAGGGGGCGAGCGUUGUCCGGAUUUAUUGGGCGUAAAGCGUGCGUAGGCGGCUGCGCAAGUCGGGUGUGAAACCCCGGGGCUCAACCCCGGAACUGCAUCCGAUACUGCGUGGCUAGAGGUAGGUAGGGGAGAUCGGAAUUCCUGGUGUAGCGGUGAAAUGCGCAGAUAUCAGGAGGAACACCGGUGGCGAAGGCGGAUCUCUGGGCCGUAACUGACGCUGAGGAGCGAAAGCGUGGGGAGCGAACAGG
rnacentral:rRNA from 1 species